UACGAAGGGGGCUAGCGUUGCUCGGAAUCACUGGGCGUAAAGCGCACGUAGGCGGCUUUUUAAGUCAGGGGUGAAAUCCUGGAGCUCAACUCCAGAACUGCCUUUGAUACUGGGAAGCUUGAGUCCGGGAGAGGUGAGUGGAACUCCGAGUGUAGAGGUGAAAUUCGUAGAUAUUCGGAAGAACACCAGUGGCGAAGGCGGCUCACCGGCCCGGUACUGACGCUGAGGUGCGAAAGCGUGGGGAGCAAACAGG
rnacentral:rRNA from 1 species